rnacentral:rRNA from 1 species
UCCUAAGGUUUCUCUCUUUGCUCUUAAUCACUUUUCUUAAAUUUUUCGUAUUCUUGUCUUUAAGUCCUUUGUGAAAUCCUGGAGCUCAACUCCAGAACUGCCUUUGAUACUGAGGAUCUUGAGUUCGGGAGAGGGGAGUGGAACUGCGAGUGUAGAGGUGAAAUUCGUAGAUAUUCGCAGGAACACCAGUGGCGAAGGCGGCUCACUGGCCCGAUACUGACGCUGAGGCACGAAAGCGUGGGGAGCAAACAGG